GACGAACGCUGGCGGCGCGCCUAAUACAUGCAAGUCGAACGGACACCUUCGGGUGUUAGUGGCGGACGGGUGAGUAACACGUGGGCGACCUGCCUUUGAGUGGGGAAUAACGCUGGGAACCAGCGCUAAUACCGCAUACGCUCGCUGCUUCAGCGCAGUGAGGAAAGCUUUAUGUGCUCAAAGAGGGGCCUGCGGCGGAUUAGCUAGUCGGUGGGGUGACGGCCUACCGAGGCGACGAUCCGUAGCUGGUCUGAGAGGAUGAUCAGCCACACUGGGACUGAGACACGGCCCAGACUCCUACGGGAGGCAGCAGUAAGGAAUCUUCCGCCAAUGGGGGCAACCCUGACGGAGCGACGCCGCGUGGACGAAGAAGCC
rnacentral:rRNA from 1 species